rnacentral:misc_RNA from 1 species
GUUCGAGAAGCAAAGAUGGUAUUGUGACAUGGAUUAAGAAGAAGAUCGGGCCUGCGCUUCACAAUGUGACCACAGCGGAAGAGGCAGAGAAGAUACUGGCUACCGACAGUAAAAUUGUUCUGGGAUUUUUUGAUUCUCUAGUGGGUGCUGAUAGCCUUGAGCUUAGUGCUGUUUCACAACUUGAAGAUGAUGUCAGCUUCUAUCAAACUGUCAAUCCUGAUGUAUCGAAGGUUUUCCACAUCGACCCCAAAGCCAAAAGGCCUUCUUUGGUGAUGCUAAAGAGGGAGGAAGAGAAGCUGGCCUACUUUGACGGUGAGUUCACCAAGUCUGCCAUUGGAGAGUUCGUAUUUGCCAACAAGCUUCCUCUAGUGACCACCUUUACCAGGGAAAGUGCCACACUGAUUUUUGAGAAUCCAAUUAAAAAGCAGCUUUUGCUCUUUGCCACAUCAAAAGAUUCUGAGAAAGUUCUACCAGUCUUUCA